AUUUUGAGGACUGAGCCCAUCAAUUUUGAGCUAAAAUGGCGGCUUCAGUAACCUCACCCCUGGCUAGCUCCAUAGAGAAGACAAAUGGAGCCAAGCUCAGCAGACUUCUUAUCGAUGGUGGAACCACAGUUUUAAAAAGCAUUUUUGACAGGCAUCAUUCUCCAGCAAACCUGGCGGCGAAUCUCAAAGCGAAAGCCAAUCAUUCGAAACUAUGUAAUCUUCUGAAGAAACGAAUUUUACGUAAGGCUCAAUGGGACAAACUGUUUCCACCCAGUGGGAGCUCACCGGAUUCAAACAAUUUUGACAUUACUCUUCUUUUUCUUCUUCUGACGGAAAUUUGUGGGCUUUCCCCUCCCCCGUCAGGUUGGCACAAAAAACCACCCUUAAGUGACACUUCUCUAGAGGCUAACCUUGCUCGUGUAAAGUUCUUUCGAAAUGAGUUGUAUGGCCAUGUAUCCACCACUGAAGUCGACUCAGCAACGUUCUCCCAGCUUUGGCAAGAAAUAAGUAGCGUUCUUGUGACUCUUGGAUUGAAUCAAGCAGACGUAGAUAGACUAGAGGCUGAGCACAGUGGAGAGAAAGAUUAUCUUCAAAUGUUGUUUGAGUGGGCUGAUAGUGAGCAGGAUCUUAAAGCACAUCUAAAAGAAAUAAGUCAAAGUAUAGAUAUUGUACAUCAAAACCAAACUCAGAAUGCUAAGAUACUGCAAGAAAUGAAGUCGGAGCUGCAUGGAGUAUGUCACACUCAAACCAAAAUACAAGAAGACGUAUUAGAAGUUAAAAAGAGUUUUGAGGAUUUAAACCAAAGAGGACAGGCUAACAGAAGAGAAGAAAUUCUGAACGUCCUAGCAAAGUCCGAGUUCGAAGGAGACAUCGAGUUUUACGUGUCAAGAUUCCAGGAAGGAACUCGCGAGUGGAUCUUUCGAAAAAUCGAGGGUUGGCUUGAUGACAGCAAUUCCCCAAACCGUGUGAUGGUAAUCAGCGGAAAUGCAGGUAUGGGAAAGUCUGUUAUCUCAGCGGUCAUUUGCAAGAGGAUGCAAGAAGCCGGUAGACUGUCAGGGAGCCACUUCUGUCAACACAACAACGUGCGCUAUCGAAAUCCUCAGUUGUUGCUUCAAUCCUUGGCCAGUCACCUGUGUCGUGCACUACCAGAAUACAAAGAGGCUCUACUGGAACAACUGUCAAGAAAUUUGGGCGUAGAAAUCAACAGCAUGGGAGUGGAGGAACUUUUUGCAUUACUUUUCAAGGAGCCGCUCAGAAAAAUCACUGAUCCUGGUAGAAACCUUCUCUUGGUGUUGGACGCUUUGGAUGAGAGUGAGUACAAGGGGCGCAAUGAAUUGUUGGAUGUGAUAGCUGACCAUUUCAUCAAGCUUCCACAAUGGAUUCGCUUUCUUGUGACCACGAGACCGGAAGUAAACAUUUCCAAUAAACUCGGCGGCUUACAGCCUCUGUAUCUGGAAACGAAUGAUGGUGAAAACAAAAGGGACAUUCGACUGUUCUUGGAGAAGCAGCUGGACCGCGUUAUUCCAAUCAAUGAUCAAGAAACUAUUCUAAAUGCUCUGGUUGAGAAGUCUGACGGUGUCAUUUUGUAUGCUUACUUUUUGGUAGACUUUAUUCAGAAAAACGUUUCUCUACUAACUCUCAACCAACUGGACAGUGCCUUGCCAUUAGGUAUCUCUUCUGUUUACCAGUCUUAUUUUAAACGCUUGGAGAGAGAGUUUUCUAACGAAUUGGAAAUCGACGAAGACAAAUUUUUAAGUUUUCUAUCUGUUGUCAUGACUGCAAAAGAACCUUUGCCACUUGGAUUUAUCUCUAAGGUGUUUCAAUUUCGCGCAAUUUCCUCACACCGGAAGAUAAUUAAGGUUAUUUCCUGUAUCUCUACCCUUCUACCAGUUAUUGACGAACGCGUUCACACGUUUCACAAGUCUGUCAAAGACUGGCUUACAGACAGAAGCACUCACGGACGGCAUGGGUUUACUGUGGAUAGAGAUGAAGGCAGUCAGAUCCUUUCAAAGCUUUGUGAAACUGAGCUCAAUAACUUGAAACGCAAAGGGAUUUAUGGUGGAGAGUUCAGUGACACCGAGAAAUAUGCCUUACAGUAUGGUGUGCAGCACCUAUUGGAUGCGUUGAGAGACCAUGAAAUUCCCGAAAAACUUGAAGAACUUGUCGAAAAUUAUGUGACAGAUCUAGAACUUUUGUAUGCAAAGCUUUUUAUCGGAAGUGAUUCAGGAUUUCAAGAUAUCUUGAGUAUAAAAGAACUAGAAUCCUUUGACGUUCUGCCUUCUCCUUUUCAAUUUGCUGUGACCUCUGCCAUUUCUGUCAUGAGAAAAUACAAAUCUAGGCUUUGUCAACAUCCGCAGCAAUUAUUUCAAACAAUACUUAACGAAGGAGGAACGCAACUAUCCUCAAUGGCCAACCGUGUGUUAAAGGAAAAGUAUCCAAGGAUACCUUACAUCGAAAUCGUGAACAAAGAGGGUAGUUACGGAAAAGUGGGAAUUAAAGCGCGAUUUGAAUGUGGUAGUGUGGUAGCUUGUUUUGACAUUUCUCCAGAAAUGGAUUACAUGGUUUGUGAGUGCGUCGACAGGAGUGUUCAACUAUGGUCACUUCAAAGUGGCGAUCGACUCUGGUUGCGUUAUGCAUUCACAGAAAAGUCAUUCGGCAUUCCGAUAUAUGCCAUGGACUGUGCCGUUCGAAAUGUGACCGACUCAGUUGUCAAUGACUUUGGCUUGGCAUUGGUGUCAUCAAUGUCAUUUUACCGAUCUGUUGUAUUUCACGCGGACGGUGAUUAUGUCAUACCUGGAAGUUUAAGAGACGUUUUUACCAUAAAUGGAGAUUUACAACCUCUCUUUCCCGAAAGUGAUUGCAUGUUCAACGUAUGUGCAUUUUGCGGAGAUAGGUCUAAAAUGUUAACAGAUUGCCCUGAAAAUCCAAGGGAUGUUGUUUUAUGGAGUAUGUCAGACGGGGUGGAGAUUACUCGUUUUGAAUGCACGAAGAACAUGACGUCUUUUGCAUUUUCUUUUGAUGGAACAUUGGUGGCAAUCUCAGAUAAAUCAGACAAUGUUAGCUUGUACAAGCUGAGUAACAUAAGCAUUCAGUUUAUUUGUGACAUUGCAUGUCCCCGCGUGUGUUCGUUGAUGCAUUUUUCCCCUGAUAAUCGGGAGAUUUUAUUUGGAUUUGCAGGUGAUAAUGCCAGCCUCGAACUUGAUUGCUACAGUUGUAAAGUCCCUUCCUUUAGCGAAGAUUCCAUUGAGUGUCCAGUAACUGCGAUCUGCUUUCAAGACGUUGAAGACAUUUUCUGGUGGCCAUGGGAGUGUAGAUCCCUCGAUGAAAGUAAAUUCCUGUUCUCAGAAUCUAGACACCAAUGUUACACAAUGAUAUCAGAGGUAAUUCCGUCGUUCAAGAAAGGUUUCCUCUCAGCGGUUAGCAACCAAUCUGUAGUAGUUUGUAGCCCUUUUAAUAAAGAAAUGUUUAUGAUUCAUCAUGAUCAAUUUGAAGAUUGCCCUGGCUAUGAUUGCUGUGAAAGAGAAAUAGGUCGUUACCAAUUAAGAGGAAAACUUUCUGUGGAUGGAAGAUAUCUCUAUGCUUACAGGGAAAGAAGACUAAACGACCGUUUUUUUUCAACGGUGCAUGUCUGCAACAAGGAGAAGAAAACUGUUCGUCAGUUUCAAUCACCGUUAUACCUCUUGCCCGUUAGGGAAGGAGUGCUUCUAAUGAAGAACACGCCCAACAACUUACUUGAGUUGUGGGAUUUUGAAUUAUCACGAUGUAUUCGAUCGUUCACGGAAAUUGAUACGUUGGUUAGUUUGUUUCCUGUAACCGACGAACUAGUAGGAUGUCAAAGACCUUGCGAGAAUAACAGCUCCAAAGUGGACGUUUUAAGCAUCACAAUAGGUGGAAUUGUUGCGACAACGACAAUGGAGGGAAACAUUACUUCACUUUCUUGUAAUCUUAAGUUUCAAUUCGUAGCCUGUACCAAAGAAGAACCUCGGUCUGUAAGAGAGACUAUUAUUACGAUAGCAGUUUGGAAUAAGAAAGAGCGUUUGUGGAAGAGGAAUAUCCUUACCCCUCGCGUAUUCCGUCAUCCUUGUGCGAUUAUCUCAAAUGAUGGAGAUUUUGUUGUAACAUGGAAUUCACUUGACGAAGCUGACGGUUUGCACAUUUUGAAUGCAACUACGGGAAUUACCAUGCACAAACUACUGUCAAACCCACACUUUCGCCCUACUAUCGAGGAAUGUAAACUUCUUAGUGAUGGAGAACAUUUUUUGUGCAGUUGCCCCGACCAAGUUGUUCGAUUGUUUCAUGGAAACUCUGGUAACCUGAUAGGACUGAUAGACUUGGAACGAAACCCAGAUGAUCUUGCGGUAUGUCUUAACAAGCCUCUAUUUGCUGCUGUAUUCGAUACGAAUUCCUACGGCAGAAUCUUCCAAGUACAUCUUCCAAAGGUGGAAAACAGUGAAAGUAAAGUGAAAAGGAUGAAACUUCAGCAAUGAAAGAUUAACAACAUGAACGGUGAAAAAUCCGGUCGGCAGAUCUUGUUGGCUGAAAAACGGACGAUUUCUCGAGGAAAUUACCCCUUUUAGAUCCAUAAAAAAUAUUGUCGGAGACACGGUGGCCAAGUGGUAAGCGUUUUGAAGUUUGGCUCUCUCGGCGUGGUUCGAAGACCUGGCUGGGUCAUUGGUAAUUGCCCCGGGCAAAAGUCUUUGAAACUGAUUGCUUCUCUUGUCGCUUAGCGACAGUAAUAAGAUUUUUUUUGUAUCUGGCUGUCUUUGAGAGUAUUCUGAGUUUCGAAUGUUAAUUAGCAGGGCUAGUUUCAUCGCUUUAGCGUUGUUGAACAACAGUAGCAUUUCAUGCAGCUGAUUCGCAGGUUGGACAGAUCAUGAAGGCUAACUUAACAAUGAAAUGGCUUCCUGCGAAACUACCUGAGUUUUUUACAUUCUUGAUAACCUUUAAAAAAUUUGGCCCUUUCGUAAUUUAAACAAGUAAUCAAAGGUUGCAGAAACAGCCCUGAUUUCAGUGUUUUCCAUAGUGAUUUCUCCGGCUGAUCUAACUGACUAAUCAUGGUUCGUAGUUUACUGUAACGGUGCAAUUCCUUUCAGUGCUACGCUCAGUAGCCAAAGCAUCCCACGGAAUAGCCUUUAGGUGUCUUGUUUCACUCUGCCCUGUGCAAUUACCUGUGCGAAGGAUGGAGAAGUCAGGCAGUAAAAGUUCCAAAACGAGUGAUCGUGUUUGGGUGUAUAACUCAUUAGUGGAGUACUGAUAGUCAGUUAUUGUUCUUAUGGUAUCGUAUAAUCUCAAGUAAAACUACCAAGAACGAGUCAUUUCUAACUUUAGCUUGUACUGUAGACGUGGCAGGAAAUCUUAUUUAUACGUCUAUACCGAACUUUCUUGAAGUUUCUAGAACCUUGGAAUAAGAUUAUUUUAAUCUUAAAAACCGUGAAAUUCACAAGUAAUGUUGUUUUAUGUCAUCUAAAACUGUUGGUAAUCUCUUUUUGAUUAAGUGUUUAACGAUUUCAGAACCGCAUUACGGGAAAAUUUAGUGAUUUUUUCCAGUGGAUAUUUAAGCAUAUUUAUUCGUUAUUUUGGUAUUCUAGCCGUUCUCAAUUCGUGCGAGUUUCUUUCAUGCAAUGUUAUAAAAAAGAUAAAAAGCCACAAGUAAAUUUUAAAUGGCCAAGUUAAGUUGUACAGCUGCAUCUUGGUACUUUUCUUGUUAAAUUCUAGUUAAUUUUUUGGUAAAUAAAAGUGUUAAUGAUC
rnacentral:misc_RNA from 1 species